UAAAAAAAAAUCGAUUAAUUGAAUAAAAUUAAUUUGGGACAACAUUUGGAUUUCCGAUUUCCAAAAGCCCAAUGGAUUCCAAUAGCAAGAGACGAUCGGUCUUCCCCUCUAAACAAAAUAGUGUCAACCAUGGGCAUUCUGCAAUUUUUCAUACAACACCACCAACCGCAUUUAACUGUGAAGGGAUUGAAACCAAUAUCUUUUGGGAGAAGAAUACAUCAACUUCUUUGUCUACACACCGAAGUAACCAUAUCACAUGCUGCCACAGCCACCAGCCGACCAACUCAGUCCGCACCUCCGGUCAGCCAUCAUCCUUCUCCUAACCACCAACGGUUCCACCGGUUUGCACCCAUAGAUGGGAACAUUGAUCAGACAAGUGUAUCGGUGAUUAUCUACUUUGUUAGACGUAGGGGGUGUGGUGGGAGGAAUACUUGCAGGUCAUAUUCCGCUAGAUUGAAUGCUACAGCCAUUACGCAACAAGUUUCAUGCCCUAUGAUCUCAUAAGAACCCCUAUCUCAGCUGACAUCGGGACCCACCCGUCCCUGAAAGGAAAUUGAUAGGAGGGGUGUUUUGCUCUCAGAUAAGACUCAUGACUUCAAUGGAGAAUUUAAAAAGGUCCACUGACAAAAUCAAAGUUGGCAACAGAGCUAUUCUGGAAACAAGACAGAUAGGUGCUUCCAUCCUGCAAGAUUCAGCAGCAUGAGCCUUUUCAAAGUGCGAACCAUACUUCCCUUUUUUAUGCUAGCUCGAUAGAGUGAAAGAUAAUGCAGCCAGAAGCAAGGAAGAUUUGUGUGGUAUGUCAAAUACAAUGAACUGAACAUUGUCUCUACUAUCAACCAUCAUCGCGCACUAUUUUUUGGAUACAAGAGGGUCAUUUGUAUUCGUAGAGAGGCUUUAUCGUCCAGCCUAAAAGGGAGGAGUAUUGAAUACUGAAAUCGUCUUUACACUCAAAGAUGCAAAGUGCCAGUGAUUUUGCAAUGAAUAUGAUGGCUCAGAACCGAAUCUUGGAAUGCUACAAGGAAUGGAUAGGCCGCAUCAACAGUGCUUUUGGUUAUUCGGGCAAUUUGAGGUUUGUCUUUGAAGCGCCUGCCAAUUUGUUGCAUCAUGAAACAUGGAUCUGGAUUUAAGACUGAGGAAUGAUAAACACGAAACACAAGGAGCGGGCCAACAAGCUUAUGCUCUCAAAAGCAUGAUUGCCAAUAGGUCAACCAUAGUAUAACUAGCUUUGGAUCAUAAUAUACGGUUGAUGUUUAUGAAGAUGAAUAGGAAGUUGUGAUGCCUUCAAGAUAACUACUCAUCCAUAUUUUGUAUCAAAUAUAGUAAAUUCUUUUGGUCAGCUUUGCCUAUCGACUUUAUCGUUGACAUAGGUUAUUGACAGAAAUGAGGUUCCCACAUUGCAAGAAUUCAAGAGUUCAAUCAGUGGUAUGGAUCCGGAGGUUGGAAGAAGGUUAUCACAUCUUUGCAAAAAUAAAAGAGUGUCUCCUAUUCUUGUUCGGCCUGAGACUCUAGGAGGCACCAGCAAAACAUUCUUAUACAAGGCAAGGCAAUACUCUGA